AUUGAACGCUGGCGGCAGGCCUAACACAUGCCAGUCGAACGGUAACAGGAAACAGCUUGCUGUUUCGCUGACGAGUGGCGGACGGGUGAGUAAUGUCUGGGAAACUGCCUGAUGGUGGGGGAUAACUACUGGAAACGGUAGCUAAUACCGCAUAACGUCGCAGGACCAAAGAGGGGGACCCUCGGGCCUCUUGCCAUCGGAUGUGCCCAGGUGGGAUUAGCUUGUUGGUGGGGUAACGGCUCACCAAGGCGACGAUCCCUAGCUGGUCUGAGAGGAUGACCAGCCACACUGGAACUGAGACACGGUCCAGACUCCUACGGGAGGCAGCAGUGGGGAAUAUUGCACAAUGGGCGCAAGCCUGAUGCAGCCAUGCCGCGUGUAUGAAGAAGGCCUUCGGGUUGUAAAGUACUUUCAGCGGGGAGGAAGGGAGUAAAGUUAAUACCUUUGCUCAUUGACGUUACCCGCAGAAGAAGCACCGGCUAACUCCGUG
rnacentral:rRNA from 1 species